UCCUUGCUGUUCCGGAGUUUACUAUGCAGG
rnacentral:piRNA from 1 species